AUGUAUCUAUCAACCAAUCAAUGAAAUGUAUUUAUCAACCAAUCAAUGAAAUGUAUUUAUCAACCAAUCAAUGAAAUGUAUUUAUCAACCAAUCAAUGAAAUGUAUUUAUCAACCAAUCAAUGAAAUGUAUUUAUCAACCAAUCAAUGAAAUUAAUUUAUCAACCAAUCAAUGAAAUGUAUUUAUCAACCAAUCAAUGAAAUGUAUUUAUCAACCAAUCAAUGAAAUGUAUUUAUCAACCAAUCAAUGUAAUGUAUUUAUCAACCAAUCAAUGAAAUGUAUUUAUCAACCAAUCAAUGUAAUGUAUUUAUCAACCAAUCAAUGUAAUGUAUUUAUCAACCAAUCAAUGAAAUGUAUUUAUCAACCAAUCAAUGAAAUGUAUUUAUCAACCAAUCAAUGUAAUGUAUUUAUCAACCAAUCAAUGAAAUUAAUUUAUCAACCAAUCAAUGAAAUGUAUUUAUCAACCAAUCAAUGUAAUGUAUUUAUCAACCAAUCAAUGAAAUGUAUUUAUCAACCAAUCAAUGUAAUGUAUUUAUCAACCAAUCAAUGAAAUGUAUUUAUCAACCAAUCUAUGUAAUGUAUUUAUCAACCAAUCAAUGAAAUGUAUUUAUCAACCAAUCAAUGUAAUGUAUUUAUCAACCAAUCAAUGAAAUGUAUUUAUCAACCAAUCAAUGAAAUGUAUUUAUCAACCAAUCAAUGAAAUGUAUUUAUCAACCAAUCAAUGUAAUGUAUUUAUCAACCAAUCAAUGUAAUGUAUUUAACAACCAAUCAAUGUAAUGUAUUUAUCAACCAAUCAAUGAAAUGUAUUUAUCAACCAAUCAAUGAAAUGUAUUUAUCAACCAAUCAAUGAAAUGUAUUUAUCAACCAAUCAAUGUAAUGUAUUUAUCAACCAAUCAAUGAAAUGUAUUUAUCAACCAACCAAUGAAAUGUAUUUAUCAACCAAUCAAUGAAAUGUAUUUAUCAACCAAUCAAUGAAAUGUAUUUAUCAACCAAUCAAUGAAAUGUAUUUAUCAACCAAUCAAUGAAAUGUAUUUAUCAACCAAUCAAUGAAAUGUAUUUAUCGAGCCCUUUCAAUACAUCAGCUGAUGUCAACAAAGUGCUGUACAGAAACCCGGCCUAAAACCCCCCAAACAGGAAGUAACGCAGGAUGUAGAAACACUGAUAUAUUACUCGUUGUAUUACUACUUUCUGAAACCCUCUUCCUCUCUACUACAGCACACCAGGGGUGUCCAACACCCGUUACUGGAGCACUACUACGCUCUAGGGACCAAUAGGACGGUCUCUCUCCAGGACCAAUAGGAGGGUCUCUCUCCAGGACCAAUGGGAGGGUCUCUCUCCAGGACCAAUAGGAGGGUCUCUCUCCAGGACCAAUAGGAGGGGUUCUCUCCAGGACCAAUGGGAGGGUCUCUCUCCAGGACCAAUAGGAGGGUCUCUCUCCAGGACCAAUAGGAGGGUCUCUCUCCAGGACCAAUAGGAGGGUCUCUCUCCAGGACCAAUAGGAGGGUCUCUC
rnacentral:lncRNA from 1 species